GACGAACGCUGGCGGCGUGCUUAACACAUGCAAGUCGAACGGACAGGCCCUGCUUUCAGUCUGCUCGCGUUGCCAACGGGUGAGUAACUCGUGCGUGGACUGCCCCUUACUUUGGCUUAGGCCACUUCAACUGGGUCUAAUACUUGCUAGGACCAUUCUGUAGGUGGUGGGGUGAAUAGUGUAGUUUCGGUUUGGUAUGAGCUCUCGGCGGAUCAGCGUGUUGUUGGGGUAAUGGUCUACUAAGGCGUCGAAGGGUAGCCGGCCUGAGAGGGUGGACGACAACAUUCAGACUGAGACAGGGGGCAGCCUCAUGCGGGAGGCAGCAGUGGGGGAUAGCGCACAGUGGGCGCAAGCCUGAUGCAGCGACGGCCCGUGGGGCAUGAAGGCCUUCGGGUUGUAAACAACUUACGGCCAUGACGCAGCGCUUGUGGUGACGGUAGUGGUAGAAGAAGCACCGGCUAACUACGUG
rnacentral:rRNA from 1 species